CGCGGGCCCUCUCUUCCUACUGUCUGACCAGGGCGAUAAAAGCCAUAAACUCAAAGGCUGAGGUGGCACGGGCCCAGGCGGCCCAGGCAGUCAAUAUGUGCGCCGCCCGAGGGCUGCAGGAUGUGCUGCGGACCAACUUGCGUCCUAAGGGAACCAUAAAAAUCAAAUUCAGCACCCAACAGCUCCCUUGAUAGCAAAAGUAGCAACAGCCCAGGAUGACAUUACAGGAGAUGGUACUACUUCAAAUGUUCUAAUUAUCGGAGAGUUACUAAAACAAGCGGAUCUUUACAUUUCUGAGGGCCUGCACCCUAGAAUAAUAGCUGAAGGAUUUGAAGUUGCAAAAAUAAAGGCACUUGAAGUUUUGGAACAAGUUAAAAUUUAAAAAGAGAUGAAAAGAGAAAUCCUCUUAGAUGUGGCUAGAACAUCUCUACAAACUUAAGUUCAUCCUCAACUGACUGAUGUGUUAACAGAGUAGGUUGUGUGGUUCCAGGAGCGGGUGCAGUUGAAGUGGCAAUAGCUGAAGCUCUAGUUACAUACAAGCACAGUAUAAAAGGAAGAG